GCUGGCCUGCACCACCGCUCACAGCAACACCAGAUCCUUAACCCACCAAGCGAGGCCAGGGAUCGAACUUGCGUCAUAAUGGAUGCUGGCCAGUUUCAUUCACUGCUGAGCUACAGCGGGAACUCCUGUUGACAUUUUUUGUAACAAAACGGGUGUGGAAAUUUUUUUCACCACAUCCACAGCAUGUGGAAUCCAUUUCCAGGCCCAGGAUUGAACACGUGCCACGGCAGCCACAACACCAUAUCCUUAACCUGAUGCAUCACAAGGGAGCUCCCGGGUGUGGGGUUUGGUCAAAUGUUUUCCUGCAUCCAUUGAGAUUAUUGUGUGGGUUUUGUCCUUUAUUUGAUGGUUUAUUGUUAAUUGAUUUUUAGAUGUUGAACCAACUUUGUAUUCCUGUGAUACAUCCCACCUACGGAAGUUCCCAGGCCAGGGAUUGAACCUGAGCCACAGCAGGAUCAGUCCUUAACCUGCUGCGCCACAAGGGAGCUCGUGGUACUGACAUUUGAAGGAUUUUGUGCUCAUGAAGGACACCGGUCGCUGGCUCUCCGUUUGGGAUCAGGCUCACACCAGCCUCACACAAGGAUUAUUAGAACAGACAUCAGAGGAAAGAAAAAUAAGUGCUUGUAGAGCUGGAGAAGUCAAGCUUCUGGCCUAAGACCACUUGCUGACAAAGAAAAUUCCUUGAACUGCGGAACGGGAGGAAGGAUGGAGAAGGCAGCAAGGGCCUGAUGGGCUGGACCCCCCCCCGGGGCCCCAGCUGGGCUCGAAGCCCAGGGCAGAAGUGGUCCUGGCCUCUGCUGCGCGCUGACGGUUCCGAGGGACAGUGGAGCAGGUGCGCGUGCCCGGGGGCAGCAUGGGAGCAGGACCAGCCUUGCCUUCCUCUCUGGAUCCGCGGCGCCUGCACGGCGCUCCCAGAGCCACUGAGACCCACUUACUCCCCGGGCCUCGCUGCUGCCCCAACGCAGAACCAGUGUCCCCAGAAGUGGACGGUCCAGGUAAAGCCUCUUCCCCUGUGGUUGUGCGGACAGAUGAGGGAUGGGAGUUUCAGAUGCCGGCAGGAGCCGGGGGUCACGCAGCACUGCGAAUGCACGAAACACCACCGAGUUUCACUGUACACUGGGUGAAUCUCAUCUCAGCUUCAAUAAAAAGUAAGUGAAGAGUCUCAGUGGUAACAGGCCGUCACUGCUGAGAGCUGAGCUGGAGGAAAAUAACCUCCCCGGGCCCGCACAGGACUCACGCAGGGCGGGGAGACGGCCGCAGGAACACAGCGAGGACCCAGGGCUCCGGCUGCCGGAAGCAAGACCACCACCCGCGGGCAGGGCCAGAGGGUCCCAGGGAGUGACCAGAGCGCAGCUUGGUGAGGGACGGAGCCUCCCCCCAGCAGACAGGGCGUCUGCAUGGCUCGCCCCUCCGUCCCGCCUCCUCGUCUGACCCGUCUUCGCCACCAGGACAGACAGCAACUCCAGGCGCCCCCCCACCCCCGCGUCCCCACCGCAUCUCGGUAUCUGCCCCCCCCACCCCACCCCCCGUCAGCGUUCAGAUGCUGGUAACCCACCCGUGGGGUCAGGAGUGGGGCCCGCAGGAGGCUCAGCAAGUGUCCCCGCACACCUGACCCGGGAGUGAUUCAGAGGCAAGAGCAGCAGGAAACAAAGACCAUGGCCUCUGGGGACAAAGCCGCGACCAUCAGACCUUGUCCCCACUUGCCGGGGUGGGGGAGACACGAGUAUUUACCACAGCCCCGGCCACACCACACCUGAGCUCUCACUCGCGGCGCCCCCUGGGGGCCGUCCCCAGAAGACCCACCUGUGACCAGAGGGCGGGGCAUCCAGGGAGAGGCUGGUGCGCCCCAGGGGCGACGCGGUGACGCCCCAGACCACCACGCCAGGGCUCGCAGAGGGGGCCCCACAUUCCAGGGCAGGCGCCCGCCCGCCCUGUGCUCAUCUUCCUUGGCUGUUCCUGGCGUGUUGCCUUUACAGGAAAACUCAACUCCUGAGGGAGUCUGAGGCGAAGGCAGUCUUGACGGGGGACCAGAGAGCCAAGCUGAUGAAUCCGCCGCAUGGUCAUAAACCGCAACUCCUCAGCCCCGUCCAGGGGUCAGCACUCCAUCCCCGUCCUGACACCAAAGCCCAGGCCUCACACCUAAGAGCAGAGUACCAGCUCCCGCUCCAUGAGGGCCAGCAGCAGCCCUGCCUGGAAGGGAACCGUCCCAGAGCUGUCGGAACGGGAAGGGGGGCCAGACGUACCGACCAAAGGUAGAGCCACCAAGCAGCUCUGGACCCCAGACGCUCCUCGCAUGGCCAGCAGUGCGGGGGGGACAGUAGGUGUCCGUUUCCCGGACACUAUCACAAUGAGCACAGUCAUACGAACCGUGAGCCCAAGUGUGAAAAAAUGAAAAAAACAAUGCAUGAAAUUAUAGGAAGACAUCAGAGCGGGAAAGAAUCGUUAAACAGGACACACCAGCAUUUACCAUGAAGGCAAAAAAUUUUAAAAAAGGCAGUGAACCACGUUCAUAAUGUCUUUACCGAGACACCAGAGGGUGAAGCCAGCAACAAAUGAGAACCAAAGAAAUCGCAGAGUACGCAGCCCGGCCUGCGACUGACGACAGUAAGGAAGAAGGAGCUCCCGCUGCGGCUCAGCGGCUAGUGAACCCAACGAGCAUCCAUGAGGACGUGGGUUCAAUCCCUGGCCUCGCUCAGUGGGUUAAGGACCUGGCGUUGCCGUGAGCUGUGGUGCAGGUCGCAGAUGUGGCU